AAGAUUUUAUUUAUUUAUUCAUGAGAGACAGAGAAAGAGAGGCAGAGACACAGGCAGAGGGAGAAGCAGGCUCCACGCGGGGAGGGACUCGAUCCCGGGACUCCAGGAUCACACCCUGAGCCCAAGGCAGGUGCUAAACAGCUGAGCCACCCAGGGUUGAGGACCCAACUCCCCUGCCAUCUGGCCCCACCCCUAGCACAAUAACCUUUAGGUCCAUCCAUGUUGUCUCAGGUGGCAUAAUCUCAUCCCCUUUAUGGCUGUGUAACAUUCCAUUGUGUGCAUGUACACCACAUUUUACUUAUCCAUUCAUUUACUCACGGGUACUUAGAUUGCUUCCAUGUAAAUCAUGCUGAAAUAAACCUAGGGGUACACACAUAUUCUGGAAUUAGUGUUUUCAUUUUCUCUGGGUAAACAGCCAAUAGUGGAAGUAUGGGAAUGUAUGGUCAUUCUAUUUGUAAUUUUUUGAGGAUCCACCAUUCUGUUUUCUACAGUGGUUUUACCAAUUUACUUUCCCACCAGCGGUUCACCAGCGUUCCUUUCUCUCCAUAUCUUUGCCAACAUUUGUUGUUUCUUUUUAAUGUUAGUGAUUAUAACAGGUAUGAGGUGAUGUCUCAUUGUGGCUUUGAUACACAUUUCCCUGAUGAUGAUUGAUAUUGAGCAUGUUUUCAUGUUUCUGUUGGUAUACCACAUCUUGUUCAUUCACGCAGCUAUCGAUGAACAUUUGACUGCUUCCAUAGUUUGUCUACUGAAACUACUGCUGCAAUAAACAUGGGGAUGCAUCUUUCUGUUUUAAUUAGUGUUUUUGUGUUUUGGGAGUAAAUAAUAACCAGUAGUACAACACUGGAUCAAAGGGUAGUUCUAUUUUUAACUUUUUGAGGAAACUGCAUACAGUUUUCCACAGUGGCUGCACCAGUUUGCAUUACUAUCAACAGUACAAGAGGGUUCCUUUUUCUCCACAUCCUUGCCAAUAUUUAUUUCUUGUGUUUUAUGUUUAGCCAUUCUGACAAGUGUGAGGUGAUAUCUCAUUGUGGUUUUGAUUUGCAUUUCCCUGAGGAUCAGUAGUGUGGAGCAUCUUUUCAUGUGUCUGAUGGCCAUCUGGAUGUCUUCUUUGGAGAAAUGUCUGUUCAUGUCUUCUACACAUUUUUAAUUGGAUUAUUUGGUUUUAGGGUAUUGAGUUGUUAUAGUUCUUUAUAUAUUUUAGACACUAACCCUUUAUCAGAUAUAUCAUUUGCAAGUGAUCUUUUCCCAUUCCCUAGGUUGCCUUUUAGUUUUGUUGAUUGUUUCCUUCACUGUGCAGAAACUUUUUAUUUUGAUAUAAUCACAAUAGUUUGUUUUUUCUUUUAUUUCCCUUGCCUCAGGAGACAUAUCUAGAAAAAUACUGCUUAGAUCCAAUGUCAGAGAGCCUGUGCUCUCUUCUAGAAUUUUAUGGUUUCAGGUCUCACAUAUAGGUCUUUAAUCCAUUUUGAAUCUAUUUUUGUAUCUGUCAAAGGAAGUGAUCCAGCUUCAUUCUUUUGCAUGUGGCUGUCCAGUUUUUCCAGCACCAUUUGUUGUGAGAUUGUCCCUUUUGUUUGUUGUAUAUUCAUUCCUUCUUUGUUAAAGAUUAAUUGAUCAUAUAAUUGUGAGUUUAUUUCUGGGUUUUCUACUCUGGGUUUUCUAGUCUCUUUCUAUUGACCAGUGUGUCUGUUUUUAUGCUAGUACCAUACUGUUCAAAUCACUACGGCUUUAUAAUAUAAUUGUGAUGCCUCUAGUCUUGCUUUUUUUUCUCGAAAUUGCUUUUGUUAUUUGAGGUCUUCUGUGACUCCAUACAAAUUUUAGGAUAGUUUGUUCUGGGUCUGUGAAAAAUGUUGUUGGUAUUUUGAUAGGGAUUGCAUUAAAUGUGUUCACAGGGAUGCACCGUGAUAUUUAUAGCAGCUAUCUACAACAGCCAAAUUAUGGAAACAGCUCAAGUGUCCAUUGACUGAUUAAUGGAUAAAGAAAAACUAGUAUGUAUGUGUAUACAUAUGUAUAUAUGUAUGUAUGUAUACAUAUGCACAUAUAAUGAAAUAUUAUUCAGCCAUAAAAAAGAAUGAACUCUUGUCAUUUGUAAUGACAUAAAUGGAGCUAGAGAGCAUUAUAAUAAGUGAAAUAGGUCAAAUAAAGAUAAAAACCAAAUGAUUUCACAAAUGUGUGGAAUUUAAGAGACAAAUCAACCAAGGGAAGGGAAAGAGAGAGAGACAAACUAAGAAAUAGACUGUUAACUAUAAAGAACAAAGUGAUGGUUACCGGAAUGGAGGUGGGUAGGAGGGAGGGUUAAAUAGAUGAUGGGGAUUAAGGAGUGCACUUGUUGUAAGGAGCACCGGUUAUUAUAUGGAAGUGUUGAAACACUAUGUUGUACACCUGAAACUAAUAUUAAACUGUAUGUUAACUAACUGAAAUACAAAUAAAAACUUAACAAAGAAAU
rnacentral:lncRNA from 1 species